AUGUUUUUUUAGUUUCAAAAUGUUAAGUCUAAAUUUAUUAACCGUUCAAUCUAUCAAAAAUAAAAAAAUUAGUUAAAGGAAAGUUAUAUUUUUAAACUACAAAAAAUUUGAGAAAUGAAAAUUUAAUUUUGUUUUUUUCAAAAUCUAAAUAACCGAGCCCGAUCUGAAAUAACCGAACCCGAACUAAAAAUAUCCGAACCCGAUCCGAAGUACAGAAAUACCCUAACGGGUUCUACACCUCUAUACCGAAAUACCCGACCCGAACCCGAACGGAUAUCCGAACGCCCACCCCUACUUUGAAGGCGUCCUGCUGGAAAAUACGGUGUCCCCUAAAGUUAAAACAUCUUCUAUGACAAUUGGUAACAUGCUGUAUAGCAGUCAAGAAGAAUCUGAAAGUGCGAGGAAUACAAGGAGACAUAUGUUGUGCACGUUGUGGAGCGGAUGAAGAAUCGAUCAACCUUGUGUUUUUUGAAUGUCCUCCAGCAUUUCAGGUUUGGGCUCUCUCUCCAAGAUACCAUCAAAUCCAUCUAUCUUCCCCACAAGCUCCCUCUUUACAAAUAUGGAUCAUCUCUUCUGGAGAGUUUCCCCACUGAUGGAUGAUCAUCAAUUUUCAUGGAUACUUUUGUAUAUUUUGAAAGGAAGAAACAAUAAAAUUUUUAGUAAUCCGAACAUGGAUCCAAGGGACACGCUCAAAUUGGCCGAAAUAGAGUCAAUACUUUGGGCUGAAGCACAAGUAUUGAACGGAAAUAGGAUAGUAUCCCAGGGCCGAGGUUACGACUCUCCCAUCAAUCCCAGGGUGAUGGUGUUUUACAGAUGGUUCCUGGAAGUAGAAUGAGAUUUUCUCCGGACAAGGGUAUCUGAGUACUUUAGAAGGAUUUAAUGGGCUGUUGAGAGCAAGGAAUGUCCGAGCUUGUUUAUCUCCUCUACAUGCGGAUAUAGAACCACUACUCUGGGCAAUGGAAUGCAUGAAAAACGUACGCCAAUUCAAGGUUACGUUUGCAACGGAUUGUUCUCAGUUGGUGAAGAUGAUUUCAGAACCUAAAGAAUGACUAGCAUUUACAAAUUAUAUGGAAGAUAUUAAGAUUCUGAAAGAAGAUUUCACACGAUCAGAGAUUAUCUAUAUACCAAGGACACAAAAUUCAAGAGCGGAUAGCCUAGCACGCAGUGUCAGGAAGGAACCGUCUUUCGUCGUUCACAUGGAUCAAGAUCUGUUGGGAUGGUUCACAGAGUCAGUAUGAGUCUGUAAUUGAUGACAGAAAAAUAUAUUUAAUGUUACCAAUAAUAUUUUAAUAAAAAUGUAUAUUUUCUUAAUGUGUGUGCACUAAUCUUAAAAAUCAACUAAAAUGAAAUAGGUGAAUUAUAUUUUAAAGCUCAGAUAAGUGACAUUGCAUAAUUGUGGAACAGAAAAAAAAAAGUGGAGUAGCUUAAAAGAGAAAUUUUCAAAAAGACCUAAAAUUUGUUUUAAAUGAAAAAAAAAAGAUUUUCAAAAAGAAUAGUUUAACUUUUUCUAUAUAAAACACUCAUGUAGAUAAAUUAUUUUUACUUUUAUUCAAUUAAAAGUAAUAUUAAUAGGUUGUCAAACUACAACUAACAUCUUAUGAACAAACACAAGGCUAGAAAAUACAUUUAUGAUUGUAAUCUUGCAAAAUCCAAAGCUCAUAAAGUGGUUUAUACUACAUAAGUUGAUCUUAUAAUUAAAAUUUAAAAAAUUAAGAAAAUAUGAUUAAAAUUAGCAUAAAUCAUCUAACAAUGAAAUAUGUAAAUUAUAAUGUAAUAAAAUUGAUUAAAAUGGUUAUUACUGGAAAAUAUUUGAUAUAUAUAUAAUUCAAGGUUAGGCGUUUUAAUGUAAAAUCUACAUAAAAUUUAUUGGGCAUUGACAAAGAAAAACCAAAAUAAAAACAAUUAGACAUCACACCCUAACUGGUAGAGGAAAAAAAAGAGAUUCAUAGUUUCAAAAGAUCAGCAAUUAUCUUUCAAAAACACAUAUAAAUAUGAGAAACUCUAUUUUUUUUAUUGUUGUAUCUUAUCUUAGAACAAGAAGGAAACAUAUAGUCAAUACCAACUUAAACAAUUUUCAUCGUUCAUAUCACUACCUCAACUUUGAUACCAUGUCGACUUCAUCUUAAACUAUUUUUUUCAAAUAAAUUAACUGAACUAUAAAACUUCAGUCAAAAUAAUAUUGGUUAACCACGCUGAGCCAAAUAGCACAUAUACACUUUCUCAUUUGCUAGUUGACAUGGGUAAUUUUUUUUCUUUUGCAAAAAUUACCCAAAAACCGAAAAAUGUAUCCAAAAUUUUGAAAAAAAUUCUAAAACCCGGAAAACCUAAAAAAAACUUAAAAUUAAAAAAUAAACAAACAAAUCUGAAGACCUAACCAAUAACCCGAGAAAAACUGUAAAUACACGAAAAAUCAAAAAUGUACUCCAAACCUCAAGAAAUCUAUGAAUACCCAAAAUUUCAAGAAAUCUGUAAAUUUAAAAAAAAUCCCAAAUAUUUUUGGGAUGUUGGAUAUUUAUAGUCUGUCACAGAUUUUGGUUAUAUUUUGAUUGUAUAUUUUUGGUACUAAUUAUUUUGUUUUGAGGUAUAUGCAGGGGCGGACAAACGUUGUUGACUAUGGGGGCACGUGCCCCCUACUACUUAAAAAAAAUCAGAAACACAUGUUAAAAUUCUAUCAUAUUUCGCUACCUUAUCGCUCACCAACGACAUGGAUAGGUUAGAAUGGAUGCAUGAUGGAAAAAAAUCGAAUGUCUACUCAACAAAGGCAAUCUAUAACCUGUUGCGUGUGAGGCAACAACGAGUCCCUUGGUGUAAGGAGAUCUGGUUCUCGAAGGGAAUUCCACGUCACAAAUUCUUGCCAUGUGUUCGUUUUUGACAGAUGCCCUACCAAAAACAGAAUGGUGGACUGGGGAAUUGACACUGAUCCAACUUGCAUCCUCUGUAAUUCGUAUCUUGAAUCAAGGGACCAUUUGUUCUACGCUUGCUCUUACUCUUGGGAGGUUUGGCACUCGAUCGCAGGAAGAGUGGGUUUCUCUACACCAAGAAAUUGGAAUGUAUUACUCGGUGAUCUGGAAAGGCUGAAAUCACCGCAACACAUCAGAUUACUAAUGCUUUUGGCUUGGCAGGCUACUAUCUACUGCAUUUGGGAAAGAAAAACAGAUUCAGACACCCAUCAGCUAUCAUCAAGGAAAUUGAUAAAACCAUCAAGUUAAGGAUUGCGGCAAUUCGAAUUGAAGAUCCACAAUUCUCUUCAUCUUUGUUCCAAGCAUGGCCCCACUGAUCUCUUCUUCAAUGCGGCCUAGGGUGAUAUGCAACUCUCUCUCAAUCCUCCGUCUUCUUUCUGCUAGCUAACUAGUUUGCUUGGGCAAGUAAACUUUUAGUUGGGCUGCUACUAAUAGCUUCAGGUUCGGUUCUUUGCAAGGCAUUUGCCACUAAGCCAGGCUUUGUAAACUUUUUAGUAGAAUAUAAUCUAGCAAAAAAAAAGAAAACCUCCUCUUAUGAUAUAAGAAUCUUACUGAUGAUAUAACACAUUCUUCAUAGACGAGAGAGCUAUAAAAAAUGAAAACUAUACAAAAUGAAUCAUUCUUCUCAUGAAUUAAAUAGAAGUUCGUAACAGUAACGGUUGUUAAAUAGGGUAAAAGGAAAACAAAGUUGAAAUUGGAUUUUGGAAUUAAGGUUUAUAGAUUUGAAAUUGGGAUGGACGGGCCAUCACCGAGUUUGAAUUUGAGAGGUGGAGGACAAGAGCUGUGUGACGUCGAUGGUCAAUUUCACACUGGCAAUUUGCUUUGGAUUGGAUAAGGUAUAAAUCUAAUAAAGAUAAAAAUAAUCAGUGUAGAAGUAUCCGUCUUGAUUGCUUUGCUCUUCGAUUGAUCUAACCCAAUCUAUAAUUCUCUCUUUGUUCUCUCUCCCAGGUACUCUCACGUAUGGUCAGUUCGCGACUCCAGUCACUAGUGUGUUUGCUAAGAACAGAGAAAGCUAAAAGAAGAACCCAAGACAAGCAAGUUUUAGAGGUCUCCUCUGACCUUGGGUAUAUCUCCUUCAGAAUCAGAACCUGAGAAGAAGCAAGUCGUUGGAAGAAGAAGAUCAGGUUGUUACGGUCAAACCUUCUCCUCUGACUUUAUAGGUUUCAGCUGGGCCUAAGCUCAUAUCAGAUUAUUCAGCUAAAUCACACACCAAACCUCACAAUCUCCACCUUGGUGUGAGACACCACUGAUGACUGUGAACCCUAAUCUCGAAAGAGCUCAACAUUGUCUUCAAUCUCUGACAACGCUUCUUGCAUGUAUUUCGAGUUUCCAGAUCCUGGUUCAAGCUUUGUUUGUCCUCACUUCAAGCUAGUUUCAAAGACGACGAUCUUCUUUUCUCAAGCUUCAAGCACCUUCAGACGAGUUAAACACCCGCUGAACUUUUCUUUUGCGUAAUCCGAGUCACAGUAUCCUCUGACUUUAAAAUUCUCCUUCUUCGUAAAAGUUAAGUUUAAAUCCAAUGCUCUUUUAAUAUACAAAAUUAUCCAUUUGACUGCUAACUAAUGAUCUCUGCCAGGUUUACUCAUGUAUCUACAUACCAUUCCAACAACAUAUGUAAGGUCUUGCCUAGAACCCACCAUUGUGUACAUGAGGCUUCCAACCGCACUGGUGUAAGAACGAUGGGAACCGAACGAUAGGAACCACACCAAAGAUGGGAUCCAGAUUGUGCUGAUGGGAACGAUAGUGGGAACGAAAAGCAGUGCGAAUGAACUUUCUCAAGGUAUUGAGUCAGAGAGAGCCGUACUGCUUAGAAAAGGCGAGAAUCAUUUUGGGUCGUAACAGUAGUUAAAUUCUGUAAAAUAAUAAAAACGAAGUAAAUUCGUAGCUAAUGUACGACCUAUUUACGUGGAAACUUUACGAGGAAAUGACGAGAAAAAAUAAACGAGUAUUUUAC